rnacentral:rRNA from 1 species
GAUGAACGCUGGCGGCGUGCCUAAUACAUGCAAGUCGAGCGAACAGACGAGGAGCUUGCUCCUCUGACGUUAGCGGCGGACGGGUGAGUAACACGUGGAUAACCUACCUAUAAGACUGGGAUAAAUUCGGGAGACCGGAGCUAAUACCGGAUAAUAUAUCGAACCGCAUGGUUCAAUAGUGAAAGACGGUUUUGCUGUCACUUAUAGAUGGAUCCGCGCCGCAUUAGCUAGUUGGUAAGGUAACGGCUUACCAAGGCAACGAUGCGUAGCCGACCUGAGAGGGUGAUCGGCCACACUGGAACUGAGACACGGUCCAGACUCCUACGGGAGGCAGCAGUAGGGAAUCUUCCGCAAUGGGCGAGAGCCUGACGGAGCAACGCCGCGUGAGUGAUGAAUGUCUUCGGAUCGUAAAGCUCUGUUAUUAGGGAAGAACAAAUGUGUAAGUAACUGUGCACGUCUUGACGGUACCUAAUCAGAAAGCCACGGCUAACUACGU